GCUGGGCAUGGUGGCACAUGCCUGUAAUCCCAGCUACUCAGGAGGCUGAGGCAGGAGAAUUGCCUGAACCCAGGAGGCAGCGGUUGCGGUGAGCCGAGAUCACGCCAUUGUACUCCAGCCUGGGUAACAAAAGUGAAACUCCGUCUCAAAAUGCAGUGGCGCAAUCUCGGCUCACUGCAACUUCUGUCUCCUGGGUUCAAGCAAUUCUCCUGCCUCAU
rnacentral:SRP_RNA from 1 species